AAUAAAUUCGCAAGCCCCGCCCCCCAGCCUGCACGCAUAGGAGAGGUGUGGCAUGGCUGGGGAGCUAGAGGCAACCCGGGCGGCGGCCGAGUCGCGUCACGUACGUUCGUGACGUCACUUCCACCAACCGCCCGGACGUCACUUCCGCCAACCGCGGCGUGCCAAUCACGUGUAGGCACUUCCGCCAACCACUGAGGAACCCGCGGAACACUUCCGCCAACCACCACUGCCCACCAAUG